UACGAAGGGGGCUAGCGUUGUUCGGAAUCACUGGGCGUAAAGGGCGCGUAGGCGGCCACCGCAAGUCGACUGUGAAAUCUCCGGGCUUAACCCGGAAAGGUCAGCCGAUACUGCGGGGCUAGAGUGCAGAAGGGGCAACUGGAAUUCUCGGUGUAGCGGUGAAAUGCGUAGAUAUCGAGAGGAACACCUGCGGCGAAGGCGGGUUGCUGGGCUGACACUGACGCUGAGGCGCGAAAGCUAGGGGAGCGAACGGG
rnacentral:rRNA from 1 species